rnacentral:lncRNA from 1 species
CAAGAUUGAUGAGUUGAAGGCGAGAAAAAACUACUACACUACCCAACAACUUAUACAGGUGCAUUUCCUAUAUUUUUACAAUAACAUGACCUGCCAGUUGUGCUUUAUGCAGAGUUGUACUGGUUAGUAGUUAGUGUAUGAAAAAUAAGCAUGAUUUAUGCUCCCUUUUCACCUUCCUGAAAACAGUACAUGUUGUAUGUGUUGAUGACGCUUUCAUAGUGGUGAUACAGAGAUAUGGUCUUGACCCUACUCAAGCUCGUCCACACCAAUGUUACGGUAGCUGCUUCUGCGAGUCUCUUGUCAUCUUCUUCGCCGCCGGCUCGGUAAAUCUCUCGGUUUACUUCUCCUCUUUCUCUCUUGAGCUUUGUAGAAAGUGGGCUAGGUGGGGAGGCCGAGGGCAAAGUGCAGCAGGAGGUGCAUCGGUUUGAAUGUAUGUGUAGCCGGUAAGGGCUGGUUCGUUAUCAUCUCAAAGGCUGAAAGAUCCGUUGCUGCAGGUCACCACAUCCGCUUCCCACAGCUGUGGACGACGAUAAGGAGGUGGUGGGUGACACGGGCAAAGAGUGCUUGGAGGUUAAUGUUGCUUGUCUGCGUGUCUGCCUAGAGAAUUUUCUGUUGUUUGAUUUGGUUUUAUAAGUCCAUAUUGCAUGUCUGCAUAGAGAAUCUCAUAAUAUGAUUGUUAUUAUUAUAUGUCUUACAGAAGUGCAUAGUUUCACUAUAUCAUAGUAUUAUAAAUGCAUGAGGGUUGAUCUGGGUAAGUGUCUGGCACUCUCUCCAGC